GUAGAUAUACUAUAAUACUGAAGAUGGGAUCUGUUGAAUUCCGAAAAGUUUAUUGUUUGGAAUUAAGCAUAAAGCUACACAAUGGGCUAUCUGUGCUCUGCCCACCACGGGUAUC